GCCUCUGCCUCCACUCCAUCCUGGGGCUUUCCACCGCCCCUCCCAGAGCUCUAUAAAUCCGGGGCCGCCGGCUGACCAGAUCAACGUGUCCCGGUCUUCGGCUCCCUCCCUUGUGGCCUCUCAGCUCCGGGCCCCAGCUGUCGUACCAUCGCCAUGAGGCUCGCUUACCUUCUCCUACUGCUUGUGGCCGUGCUGUUCCAGGCUGGGGGCGGAUCAGUCGAAGCCUUUGUACAGCAUAGACCCCGGGACUGCGAGUCCAUCAACGGGGUCUGCAGACACAAAGACACAGUGAAUUGCCGAGAGAUCUUCUUGGCGGACUGUUACAGUGAUGAGCAGAAAUGCUGCAGGAAGUAGCCGUGCCGCCGUAGCUGCCAGAGGACGCCCCGGGAGUGCGGUAGGGGCCACGGUAGCCCUCGACCCCGAGACCCUCCCUCGGCCCCCGUAUCCUGCUAAAUAAAAGCAAUCAAAACGCA